AACGCGAAGAACCUUACCUGGGCUCGAAAUGUACAGGAAUCCGGUAGAAAUAUCGGCGUCCCGCAAGGGACCUGUAUAUAGGUGCUGCAUGGCUGUCGUCAGCUCGUGUCGUGAGAUGUUGGGUUAAGUCCCGCAACGAGCGCAACCCUUACCUCUAGUUGCUACCAUUUAGUUGAGCACUCUAGCGGAACCGCCUCGGAUAACGGGGAGGAAGGCGGGGAUGACGUCAAGUCCUCAUGGCCUUUAUGUCCAGGGCUACACACGUGCUACAAUGGCCGGUACAAACCGCUGCAAACCCGUGAGGGGGAGCUAAUCGGAAAAAGCCGGCCUCAGUUCGGAUUGGAGUCUGCAACUCGACUCCAUGAAGCUGGAAUCGCUAGUAAUCGUGGAUCAGCAUGCCACGGUGAAUACGUUCCCGGGCCUUGUACACACCGUAGUAC
rnacentral:rRNA from 1 species